AAUAUGGUAGUUCUUUCAGAUAGUCGAAUGACUUGGAAAAGUCAGUCAAAGAGGGUAAAAACCCCGUAGACGAAAUGUGGAAGACACCUAGGAGGAUCCUGAGUACGGCGGAACACGAGAAAUUCCGUCGGAAUCCGGGAGGACCAUCUCCCAAGGCUAAAUACUCCCUAGUGACCGAUAGUGAACCAGUACCGUGAGGGAAAGGUGAAAAGCACCCCGGAAGGGGAGUGAAAUAGAACCUGAAACCGUGUGCCUACAACAAGUCAAAGCCCGUUAAUGGGUGAUGGCGUGCCUUUUGUAGAAUGAACCGGCGAGUUACGAUUGCAUGCGAGGUUAAGUUGAAGAGACGGAGCCGCAGCGAAAGCGAGUCUGAAUAGGGCGUUUGAGUAUGUAGUCGUAGACCCGAAACCAUGUGAUCUACCCAUGUCCAGGUUGAAGGUGCGGUAAAACGCACUGGAGGACCGAACCCACGUACGUUGAAAAGUGCGGGGAUGAGGUGUGGGUAGCGGAGAAAUUCCAAACGAACUUGGAGAUAGCUGGUUCUCUCCGAAAUAGCUUUAGGGCUAGCCUCGGAAUUGAGAAUGAUGGAGGUAGAGCACUGUUUGGACUAGGGGCCCAUCUCGGGUUACCGAAUUCAGAUAAACUCCGAAUGCCAUUCAUUCAUAUCCGGGAGUCAGACUGUGAGUGAUAAGAUCCAUAGUCGAAAGGGAAACAGCCCAGACCACCAGCUAAGGUCCCAAAAUAUAUGUUAAGUGGAAAAGGAUGUGGGGUUGCACAGACAACUAGGAUGUUGGCUUAGAAGCAGCCACCAUUUAAAGAGUGCGUAAUAGCUCACUAGUCGAGUGACCCUGCGCCGAAAAUGUACCGGGGCUAAACAUAUUACCGAAGCUGUGGAGUACACCUUUAGGUGUAUUGGU
rnacentral:rRNA from 1 species